AACGAACGCUGGCGGCAGGCUUAACACAUGCAAGUCGAACGCAUCCUUCGGGGUGAGUGGCAGACGGGUGAGUAACGCGUGGGAACGUGCCCUUCAGUUCGGGAUAACCCAGGGAAACUUGGGCUAAUACCGGAUACGUGCGAGAGCAGAAAGAUUUAUCGCUGAAGGAUCGGCCCGCGUCUGAUUAGCUAGUUGGUGGGGUAAUGGCCCACCAAGGCGACGAUCAGUAGCUGGUCUGAGAGGAUGAUCAGCCACAUUGGGACUGAGACACGGCCCAAACUCCUACGGGAGGAAGCAGUGGGGAAUAUUGGACAAUGGGCGCAAGCCUGUUCCAGCCAGGCCGCGUGGGUGAUGAAGGCCUUAGGGUUGUAAAGCUCUUUCGUCCGGGACGAUAAUGACGGUACCGGAAGAAGAAGCCCCGGCUAACUUCGUGCCAGCAGCCGCCGUAA
rnacentral:rRNA from 1 species